GAUGAACGCUAGCGGCAGGUUUAAUACAUGCAAGUCGAGGGGCAGCAUGACUGUAGCAAUACAGUUGAUGGCGACCGGCAAACGGGUGCGGAACACGUACGCAACCUACCCAAAACUGAUGAAUAGCCCUCCGAAAGGAGGAUUAAUACAUCGUAACAUAGUUGAAUGGCAUCAUUUGAUUAUUAUAGCUCCGGUGGUUUUGGAUGGGCGUGCGCCUGANAGGUAGUUGGUAGGGUAACGGCCUACCAAGCCAACGAUCAGUAACUGGUGUGAGAGCACGACCAGUCACACGGGCACUGAGACACGGGCCCGACUCCUACGGGAGGCAGCAGUAAGGAAUAUUGGUCAAUGGACGC
rnacentral:rRNA from 1 species